AUUUGUUGUGAUCUGGUACCGGAAGUCUUGGGAUUGAAAGCGACAGUUGGGCGGGGUUUUUGAGAGAGAGAGAGAGAGAGAGAGAGAGAGAAGCUGCUGCAGAGAGAAGAGCUAGAGGAUAGACAAAGGGAUCCGGUGUUACACGUAUACAGUAGAGCUGGAUUCCUGGAAACAUCUGAGUUCACACACAGUUUGACAGCUGUUGUACAGUGUCAUGUUUCUCUGUAGUGGCCUGCUUGAUAUGGUCAGUUUGGGAUGAUAUGUAUUGGACCCAAGGUGGAGCAGUGGUCAUUACCCACCAUCACCCAUCACCAUGCCAAAAACACCUCCUUGGAGCUCCAGUCUCCAUACAGCAUGGUGUCUUCUAGGUGAACUGACUUUACCUGGCUGAACAUGAGGGACAUGUAUUGUUAAUAUGAAAUAGACAGGAAACGGCAGCUACAGGAACAUCCCUUCAUCUCACACAGUUGUGCAAGACACAGCAAGUUUCAGGAUGAAUGGGUUGUGAAGAGCCAGAGACAGGACAGCCAUGGUAAACAGGGAACUGGACUUCUUGCAGCUCUCACACACAUGGUUUGACAGUUGUUGUACAUAGUGAAGUGUCUCUGUAGUGGCCUGCUUGAUGUGGUCAGUUUGGGAUGAAAUGCAUUGGACCCAAGUGGAGCAGUGGUCAUUACUUCCCUGGGAUGACCCAUUGUCAUGACAGUAACUGGACUGCUUGCAGCUCCAGUCUCCAUACAACAUGGUGUCUUAUAGGUGAACUGACUUUACCUGGCUGAACAUGGGGGACAUGUAUUUUAUAAGAAGCAGACAUAAAAAAGCAGCAACAGAAACAUCUUCAUCUCACCCAGUUGUGCAAGACACGGGAUGUGGCAAGUUUUAGGAUGAAUGAACAGCCAGAGACAGGACAGCCAUUGUAAACAGGAAAUACAGUUCUGGAAUUGUAUGAAGAGCUGCUGGCAGACCAAGAGGUCAAUUUUAUACUGAGUGAGAGAGAGUGCUGCCAGAACCACCCAGAACAAGACUUCCAAACACAGCAGAUCCUGUGGAGCCAGUUAUAUGGAACAGUACAAUUACACAACAAAUGUGGGUUCCAGGUAACAC